rnacentral:rRNA from 1 species
UACGUAGGGUGCAAGCGUUUGUCCGGAAUUAUUGGGCGUAAAGAGCUCGUAGGCGGUCAGUCGCGUCUGCUGUGAAAACUCGGGGCUUAACUCCGGGCCUGCAGUGGGUACGGGCUGACUAGAGUGCGGUAGGGGAGACUGGAAUUCCUGGUGUAGCGGUGAAAUGCGCAGAUAUCAGGAGGAACACCGGUGGCGAAGGCGGGUCUCUGGGCCGUAACUGACGCUGAGGAGCGAAAGCAUGGGGAGCGAACAGG